GAUCCGCUGCGGAGGGUCAGUCAACAACCUAGCAGCAGCAACAUUAGCCCGACGUGCAAUUUUACUGCAGAUAAGUAACUAACACUGCUUUACAUGGUAGCUCAAUUUCUAUAAUUGUAAAAUCUGUCAUGCAAAUCGCGUCUCAUGUUUUAUUUUAGAUAACGACGAGAGAAACCAUCUGACUGGUUCAGACGCCAGCAGUACGGUACCUCUCGCAUAUCCGGUCACGGAGGCAGGGAGGAGCAAAAUUGUCGAAGGAAAGGACUGAGGGAUGUCAUCGUACAGUGACAAAAUUUGUAGUUAAAGGCUUGCACUCAAUUGCCACUGUAGAAGCCCCUGAUUUCUGGAAUUUAAUGGAGGAGGCAUGAAACUCGCACUUCUCCACCUUGACAUUCUUCAGCAGGCGAAGAUUAGAAUAUCAUCAAGGUCCAGUUUGGUGAAAACCGUGACCCCCUUGGAGGGUCUCAAAUGUGGACAAGAGAAGGGGCAAGGAGUAGCGGUUCUUCAUCGUGACUUCGUUGAGCCCGCGAUAGUCGAUGCAAGGGCGGAAGGAGCCAUCCCUCUUCACACAAAAAAAAACAACCUGGCACUGGCGGGCGAGGAGGACAGUCGGAUGAUUCCAGCUGCCAGAGAGUUCUGGAUGUACUCCUCCAUUGCUUGGCAUUCCGGGUUGGACAGAGAAUAGAGCUAUCCCCUGGGAGGAGAAGUGCCAGGCAGGUGAUCGAUUGCGCAAGGGCGGUGUGGAGGAAGGGAGAUUGCCUUGGCCUUAUUGAAGACCUCCUUGAGUCUAUGAUAGCAGGAGGGCCAGUUCACGAUGUUGGUGUGUUGGUUGGUGGCAGGAUCUCUGGGUGGACUUGCCGCCUCCUUCAGGUAACGACAGGGAUGUCAAAGUCAAACACACCGAGGGCCAAAAAAACAUAUUUGCUACAAGCCGAGGGCCGGACUGGUUCAAUGUUUAUUAAAACAUAUCGAAAUGAUUGCACAUAGCCUAUUGAACCAAGACCUAACACAGUGUACAUUAUUUAAUAAUUAAAUGAAUAUGGCAAUAUUUUGUUAUGGCUCUGUCAGUAACUAAGUAAGGGAAAACAUUUUCAACAGCCAAACAGCAAAAAAUUUAAUUGUUUUUAAAAACAAAAUGUGUUUCUUAAUAUCAAGAUAAAUGCAUAAAUAAAAGUGCAUGCAUUAUAAACUGAAAAUGUAUUAUUGUGCUGCUCUAUGAUCUACCGAUCACUGCUUUCAAAUAGUAAAUUAAAAAAAUAAUUCAAAUCA